rnacentral:lncRNA from 1 species
AAAUAUUCUAGCAUAAAUAUAAAAGAAAAUCAGAGAUGGGAAAGAUUGACUCACGAGAGAUUGGAGAGGUAGAUUCACACAGUGAUAGUGCAAGCAGCUUGCUUCUAAUUAAAUAUGCGACUGAGUCUCAAUGCAUUUGCUUUCAGCCGCAGAGAGAAGAAGCUGCCCAAGAAUGGAAAGGAAGAAAUAUAUCACAUCAUCUGUCUGUCCACAGGCUUUCCUUGGGGCUUAUGAAGCACAGCUUUUACACAUCUGGUCCUGAGAAAAUCCACACUGUUGCUACUCACCCGGCAGCCCUGACCACAAUAUUGGCAGUGAUUUUGGAGUUCUAACAGAUGAAUCAACCAUUUUCAGUGGACAUUUUCUCCCUGCUUUGCAUAUUUCCUCUAGCUGCAACCCCUCCUCACUUGACAGAUGCUGCUUUCUCUACACCGGUGGACUUUUCCCAGCCCCUCCUCUUUACACUGGCCCUUUAAGCAGACAUUUACAGAAAUUAUCCUAUUCAGUGUCAUUACUCUGCUCCCACAGGUACAGUCUUAG